AACCAUAUAGAUUCAUUAAAUCAAAAAAUACAAAAUACACAUGUUGAUUUUCAAUGAAUAUCGAAAAAUAUUAAACCUAUUUUUUAACUAUAAUCAUACAAAUUUUUAGUCGUUCUCUCGCAAUAGUUUAUACUAGUCUUUUGUGCAUGCGAUGCGUGCGAUGAUAUUUUUAGGCCUAAUAUUAAGUAGUAAACAAACUGAAUAUGCAAGUUAGUAUGUAAGUUCACCUCUAUUUUGUGAAUAAUAUUCUUCCAUGUUCUUUUUAUGUUGUCAUUCAUUUUUGUGAUUUUGAAUAGUUUUUUGUUUCUCAAGUCUUAUAUGCGCAUGUUCUUUUAUAAUCAGUAUGAUGUUCUUUACCAAAUAUCGUCAUGUUCUUUUUUUUUUGUUUUGUUCAUUUUUGUAAUUUAUAAUAGUUUUUUAUAUGGAUUUCAGUAAUUUCUCUAUGAUCCCAAAAUUGUAAACGAAAAGUAUAAUACAAUUUUAGUUUUUUUUCCUUGUCUAACUUCUAAAUUCUGAUUUCACAGAUAUUUAAGAAUUUUCAUCAUUUUAAUUUUUUCUCCUUUUCUAAAUGUUCACACUUUGAGUAUCAAUUAUAUUUGAAAGGAAAAUUAAGUUUUUCAUACACAAUCUGAUUUUGCAUGAAAUGGUCAUUUUUAAUUUUUCUCCUUUUCUAAAUUUGAACACUUUGAUUUUCAAUUAUAGGUGAAAUGAAAUUUCAAAUUUUUCAUACACAAUCUGAUUGCGCAUGAAAUGGUUUUUGCAAAGCAUUUUAUAGAAAUAAAAUACCGUUAUUUUUUCAUUAUUUAUACUUAUUUAUUAAAGUGUUUUUAAAUACUAUUUGAUUGUAGUUCAAAGAAUCUUAUUUCUACAACAUGGAGGUGAACUUAAAUACUAACUUGCAUUUUCUUUUUGUUUACUACUUAGUAAUAAUUAGGCCUAAAAAUGUCAUCGCACGCAUCGCGUGGAUAAAAAGCUAUGUAUGUGUAGUCGUCAAUGAUAAUAACAUGAAACUAUUUGUUGAUCAGUGAAAGUAGAAGCUAAUCAAGCAGGUAUUUUAUUUCUAUAAAGUUAUAAUAAGAGGAAACUUUAAUUUUCCUCAUAUAAGCUAAUCAAGUAGAAGCUAAUCAAGCAAGUAUUUUGUAAUUUAGAAAGGAAAGGGGGGCAAAAUAGUCGGUUCAAAAAAGGACACCGUUGCUCCCCCCUUCCCUUAUGUAAUAGAGAUUAUAAAAAAAAAUUCAGAUUUGUUAUUAUGAUUAGAUUUUAGUUUUAAUCAUGAAAACAUGAAUUUUUAGGGCUUUAAAUUGCUAGAAAACCAUAAUAGCACAUUAGAUACUAUGAGAUUAACUUAGGAUAUGAUUUUAAACAUGUUAUAUAUGUUUAAAGGAGGUUUAUUAAUUUUUAAAGUUACUGUAAUUUCAGAAAGGGUUUAUUUAUAGAGUUUUUAAGAGUUUUUAAUUACUAGUAUGGUAGUAAUAUACUAGGAAUUAAAAAUAAUUCAAGUUUGAUAUUAAAAUCAACUUUUGUACGUUUUUAAAGAGGGUUUUAAGUACUUUGAGGCUGCUGUAAUUUUUAUUUAAAGUUAUUAAUUUCGGUUAUAUUGAUUUCUGGCGGAGAAUAUCUCGUAGGGGACUUUUGAAAGAUUAAAAGUGGCCUACAGGCUAGUUUACACGAGGCGGAGAAUUCACUGUAGGGGACUUUUAUGCUUAAAAGUGGCCUACCGUUACGUUUAUACGAGCUCUACUAUUAUGGCUGCAAAUUUAGGAAACUACUUUAACCCUAUCGUCCUGACUGACGAUGAAGACGACGACCAUCAUCCACCCAU